AGAGUGAAGGAGAGGGAGCCGGGGACACACGCGGAGCCCGUAGAGGGCGCACUGCGCGCUGCGCCUGGGGUUGUUUUCUCAGGCUCUCGCGCUUUUCCGAGCGAUACAGCAGGUGUCAUUUGGUUGCCUAAAUGGAGACUGGAUUUGAGGGGAGCAAGAUUAGAGGCAGAUUAUUGUAUUAAUGCAGAGACACAACGAUUCAGCAUGUAUCUGCUCGAACAGAGUUGUACGUAGAACAGCCCUCAGGCCUUCCACCCUGGAAUGACAGCUGUGCGAGGCAACUGCAGUUUCCUGUUGCAAUGGAGUCUCCGUGUUGCUGUGCUGAAGGUGGAAAAAUCUUUGGGUGGUGCCACGUUCCCUGUGGAUGCUCCAACAACACGUGCUGGCUGACCGACUGAUUGACUAACUUCGUUAAUACUCUCAUUGAUUCAUGUAUAGAUGCAAGUAUAGUUAUACAAUAAGAGAGUGAGUAAACUAUAUACAAGCAACAUUUUUUUCAUGAGUGGAACCACAGGCACCACGUGAAAAAUGAUGGCCAAUUCGGCUUCAUAAUUCUACUUGUUGGGAAGAGCGGGGCUGGCAUUCCAAGACCAACAGGGCUCUCUUCAGCAGAGCUGGUGCCACACCCUCCAGAAACAUGUUCCUGGCAAUGACAAACCUUAGGAAGGGGUACUUGCUUGUUUUGUUUACAUCAGAGACAAGAAGAUUUAGUACUCCACCUCUAUGCGUUCUGUUUACCUAACGAUUAGACUCUCAGAAUUUUAUUUUGAG